GUUUUGUGCUUUAAAAAUGCAAUAUCUGACCAAGAUUCGCCAAUCUCAUACAAGCCAUUUACUUUGCAAGUGAGAUAGCUUCCCCACCAGCUUUAUUUUUUAACAUGAAAGCUGAUGCCAAGGCCAAAAGAAGUUUAAAGCAUCUGUAAAUUUGGACUGUUUUCCUUCAACCACCAUUUUUUUUUGUGGUUAUUAUUUUUGUCACGGAAAACAUCCUCUCCAAAGUUGGAGCUUCUAUUGCCAUGAACCAUGCUUACAAAGAAAGCACUUCUUAUUGAAAUGAAUUCCUGCAUUUGAUAGCAAUAUGGAGUCUCACUCUGUCACCCAGGCUGGA
rnacentral:lncRNA from 1 species